rnacentral:rRNA from 1 species
AUUGAACGCUGGCGGCAUGCCUUACACAUGCAAGUCGAACGGCAGCACGGGGGCAACCCUGGUGGCGAGUGGCGAACGGGUGAGUAAUAUAUCGGAACGUGCCCUAGAGUGGGGGAUAACGUAGCGAAAGUUACGCUAAUACCGCAUACGAUCUACGGAUGAAAGUGGGGGAUCGCAAGACCUCAUGCUCGUGGAGCGGCCGAUAUCUGAUUAGCUAGUUGGUAGGAAAAGCCUACCAAGGCAUCGAUCAGUAGCUGGUCUGAGAGGACGACCAGCCACACUGGGACUGAGACACGGCCCAGACUCCUACGGGAGCAGCAGUGGGAAUUUGGACAAUGGGGGCAACCCUGAUCCAGCAAUGCCGCGUGAGUGAAGAAGGCCUGUGU